rnacentral:lncRNA from 1 species
GCAGGCAGGGCCCUGAGGCAGCAUGCUUUGUUCAUUUGUUUUUCUCAGCAUUUGCUUAUUUGACUUGGCUUGGGGGGGGGGCAGCAGAGAUUAUGGAGGCCUAGAAUCUUCUCCCUUGCACCCAAUAUUCCCCAUGAUGCUGCUGCUAACUUGGAGGCAGGAUGGUGCCAGUGACUCCAGUUAAGAGCCGGAAGUGGGAGCUCGUCUCUCGGGAGGUAUUCUGGGCCCUCCAGAGGCUCUGCGGACUACUGCAGAGAAUGCCCUUGGGCCUAUGUGGGCAUUUGUGGGGCCCCAUGGGAGUCAGCACUAUGGGGUUAGUAGACAAAAUACCCAGUCAGAUGUGAAGUCUGAGACCUUGGGAGAGAAAGGGCUUUGAGGCCAGGUAAUGCAGCACAGGAGACUGUGUGUGCGUGUGUUUGUGUGUGUGUGCACGCAUGUAGCAUGCGUGCAUGUGUGUAUAUGUGUGCAUGUGCCUGUGAACAUGCCAGCUAGGGUAGCGACACUUCUCAGAGCAAGGAAGUUAGUGAAACUCAUCUCAUGACAGCUCCAUAAGCCUCUGGCUCUUCACGCCUUCCAUGGCCUGCCCAUGCCCACACUGCUGGGCUCAAUCCCUAACCCAAAUGGGCUCUCAGGAUGUGCUGUGAGAAGCUUGCUCCCCUAAGCUGUUGGAGCCUGAAAACAAAGUCUCCUGUGAACCUUCGUGGCCACACCCUCUUUUCACUGACUGUCCUCCUGUCCCUAAUUGCAUGGCCUCUGAACAGAGAGUGCAGGAAAGGGGCACAGCGUGGACAGUGGACACGCCUGCUUUCUAGGACAUGAGGCACCUGUUCCUGGCUGACUGCAUCUGGAGACGGAAGAGAGGCCUGGCUGUGGAAUAAGGGAAGCUGAGUGCCAAUCUUGACCAUCUUGAUGAAUUCUAGCCCCUGAGGCCAGACCAAGGCCACAGAAUGCUCCUACAUGCUUGAGGAUAUACCUUGGAGACUUUGGGUGCAAAGAGAUACUUCCUGGACAUGACUGAAGAUACACUGUAUCAGAACCCACAGGGCAGGAAGAGGUGUGCGUGUGUGAUACAUGGUGUUGGUGUCAGCAAGGCAUGUGGAAAGUACUAGAAAAAUCCUGAAGAAAGUUAAGAAAUAGGUUUAAUCUCCUUUGUAAUCUACUCUCCAUGCACAUCACCGACAUUAUCUUCCAGAUCUCAGCCAAUUCGGCUGUUUAAUGACACAUGGUAGUGGGGCCCUGGAGGUAUGUGGCAUGCCUGGAAGAUAUAAGAAAGAUAGAUAAUCUUGAAGAAGGAGUGGUUUCUAAUCUCGUAUUAAAUUUGUUCUUCUCUCUCUCCCUCCCCUCCCUCUCUCCCCCCUACCCUUAUGAUUACCUUCACUGAUCUCAGCCAACUUAUCAAGUUCCUAGGUAAAUAUUCUUGUCCCCAGGAAUAGGUGGGAAUUGACUUCAGGCCUCACCCUUGCUACGAGGGGGCACAUUACUAUAAAAGCAAC